rnacentral:lncRNA from 1 species
UUUUUGGAUGCACAACAGCUGAAGAUUGUGCCUGGAUUCCCCUUUGCAAGCAUUCUGGAGUCACAACAUCGGCAUAGAAGGUGGCCAGCCUUUGGUUUUUGCAGUCGUUUGUGGAGUCUUUAUGGAAGAGCAGCGUGGUCAAGAGACCACGGCUGCGUAACCCCGUCUGCAGUGUGUGAGGCCGGAGUGCUGACCCUGGACCUGCCCAGUCAUGCCUUCUCGGUCAGCUGUUCAUCUCAUCUGCUACCACGUUUUGUGUAGAUGAACAACAAGCCUGGAAUCAUGCAUGGGAAUGCGAGCCUCACAUGACAUAGAAGACAGAGAAGGAGGAGACGGGCACAAGCAGGACCCCACAGCCGGCAGCCCCCUUCACAAGACCCUCGCUGCAGCCUCAACUGCCCUCCUUGGCGAGGUGGCUGCUCCCAUGCCUGGG